rnacentral:antisense_RNA from 13 species
AAUACCCAAAAAUAAUACUCGGACUAAGUGUAAGAUUUGUGAUUUCUCUUACAUCUCCACCACCAGGAACCCAGGUAUCGUAUACACCUCCGAAAAAUGAAGCCUUGAAUACCAGGAGAGAAGCACCAAGACCUAGUAAAACAAGAUGAAUACCUAGAAUAGUAGUCAUUUUAUUCUUAUCUUUCCA